AUGGAUUUAGGGCUCAUAUUUGUUUUCUUUUUCCUUAUUUUUAAAGGUGGACAGUGUGGCAUACAAUUGCUGGAGUCUCGGGGAGGCUUAGUAAAGCCGGGAAAGUCCCUGAAACUCUCCUGUGCAGCCUCUGGAUUCACCUUUAGUAACUACUGGAUGACUUGGGUCCACCAGCCUCCAGGAAAGGGGCUGGAGUGGAUUGCAUACAUUCAUCCAAAUGGUGGUGCCACUGUCUAUACGGACGCUGUGAAGGGCCGGUUCACAAUCUCCAGAGACAAUGCGAAGAACACUCUGUACCUGGAAAUGAGCAGUCUGAGGUCUGAAGACACAGCACUGUAUUACUGUGCAAGAGAUGCAACACAGUGUGUGGUGUUGAACAUGAGUAGUGAGAUUACAGCACAUGCUGUGGUUCAACUACACAGUAGUCUUGAAAAGAUCAUGGAGUUCAGAAUCAGAAUAGGAGUCACCAGCUGA